CUCUUGAACUCUAAUUUUUUUUCCUUUUGUUUUGCAGGUGGCAGAUGGACAGAUGUUCCUUGCAGAAUUAAGAGUGAAUCAGGACUGUAGAAGCCAGGUAGGCCCCUACCUCCCCUUGACUGACAGAAACUCUCCCAUGUUGUGCGACCUCCUUCCUCUUCUCUCUUUUCAGUUUCUUCUUGUACUCUACUCCGACAUUCUUCUUCUUCUUAUACUGCAGCCACACAGAACUCUUCUUUCUUUAAUGCAAACCAGAAUAGAACCAGAAAAUUUGAGGGUGACUUGCGGCAAGAAAAAUCUUUCUUGGGGUUGAUGUUUUCUUGCAGUAUCCAGAAUCCAAUUGAGAGCACUCAAGCCUCCCUAAAGAGUAAACACAGCUCGGGUUUCUUAAUUUGGUGUAGUUCCUGCGCGAAUGAGCAGCUUUUUGGGCUUCAAAGUCAAUUUCUUGGGUGAUCCAGCCUUGGACAAAAAGAUUGAAAGCUUUUUGAAUCAUCUGGCGUGGGCUCGGGUAAUAGGUCCCUCCGGGACUUGAAUCUUUCUUCCCACUUCUCCCCAAUUAUCUUCUUGAUC